GAUGAACGCUGGCGGCGUGCCUAAUACAUGCAAGUCGAGCGAACAGACGAGGAGCUUGCUCCUCUGACGUUAGCGGCGGACGGGGGAGUAACACGUGGAUAACCUACCUAUAAGACUGGGAUAACUUCGGGAAACCGGAGCUAAUACCGGAUAAUAUAUUGAACCGCAUGGUUCAAUAGUGAAAGACGGUUUUGCUGUCACUUAUAGAUGGAUCCGCGCCGCAUUAGCUAGUUGGUAAGGUAACGGCUUACCAAGGCAACGAUGCGUAGCCGACCUGAGAGGGUGAUCGGCGACACUGGAACUGAGACACGGUCAAGACUCCUACGGGAGGCAGCAGCAGGGAAUCUUCCGCAAUGGGGGAAAGCAUGACGAAGCAACGCCGCGUGAUUGAUGAAGGUCUUCGGAUCGUAAAACUCUGUUAUUAGGGAAGAACAAAUGUGUAAGUAACUAUGCACGUCUUGACGGUACCUAAUCAGAAAGCCACGGCUAACUACGUG
rnacentral:rRNA from 1 species